CUCAGAAGGAAGACAGACGCCCGGGAGGGAGCCGGCAGACAGAGUCAAGGGAGGUGACGAUGAUGGAGGGAGAAGCCAAGGAGGAAACAGGAAUAGCCAGGGUGGAUCAGACAGAGGGAGAAGCCAGGGAGAUGACAAGAGGGACUUGGAGCAAGCGGCGCCAGGUGGGACCCAGGCCACAGCCAUAGUGGUGACCCACGGUGGAGCCAAUGGAGGGAGGAGCCAUGGAGGAGGAAGGGCUGAUGAUUCCAGGGGGCCGACCAAUGGCGGCGGAGCAGGUGACUGAGGAGCCCGAGGCAGAGAUGGAGAGUCGAUGAGCCAGGGUGAUGGGGAGGAUCUGGAGGGCCGAAGUGGAGCAGAUGGCUCCAGCGACCAAGGUGGAGGUGGGGAUCCAGAAGGCCACUGUGAAGCCGGAGUGACAGAGGAUCGAGGAGGAGCCGAAGGGAUGGAGGAGCCUAACAGAGCCAGAGGGAUGAGGGAGCCUGGUGGAGACAAUGGACUGAUAGGCCACGGCAGAGAGGAGGGAGAUGGGAGUCAUGGUGGAGCCACUGGGUUGAUUGGCUGAGGCUUAGCCUGGGUCUCAGAGGCUGGAGGCAGAGAUCAGGGAUUCUGCAGCCACUGUGACCAUGGGGGAUGGCAGACCCGUGGAGUUUGCACUGUAUUGAUGGAGGGCUGAGGGCGAGCAGAGGGGCUGCCAGACGACAGCGGUGGUGGAGGCAGGAGAGGGUGGGUGGGCAGUCAUUUGUGAGCCUCUGGGCUAAACUUGGGACCAGGAGCCCUCUCAGGUCUGGACGUGGGAACAGGAGCCUUCUCUGGGCCAGACAUGGGAACAGGAACUUUCUCUGGGCUAGACAUGGGAACAGGAACUUUCUCUGGGCUAAACUCAGGAACGACUGGUAGAGUGGUAGACGUGGAAACCGAAGCCCUCUCUCCUCCCUCCACGCUCUCACUGUCCGCGGCUUUCUCCCUCGUGGCAGGCAUUGUAGCCGGAUCUCACACCUGGUCUGACGAUCUGAGAGGCUCCGUGGUGAUAUUCAGCUCUGUCGCACUCAACGGCCUCAGACUCGGGCUUGCGCUCUGUGCAGUGGGGAGAUGGUGGGCUAGGCUCUGGGUCUGGCUGUGCUCUGGAUUGGGGAUAGACGCUCUCCAGACACCGGAUAAUGGCUUCCCUCCAGCUCAGUCCAAAGGUGUCUGGGAGGUCGAAGGGGCGAUAGUAAUUUGUCCCGAUCCAGAACAGUGAGUUCAGUGCAGCGUCAUCAAACACAAUUAAAACAGCAAGCUGGAUGAACUCUUCUGCAUACUCCACUAGGCAAAGGUCUUUGC
ensembl:lncRNA